rnacentral:rRNA from 1 species
CACGUAGGAGGCAAACGUUAUCCGGAUUUACUGGGCGUAAAGCGCGUGUAGGUGGUUCUGUAAGUAGGGCGUGAAAGCUCCCGGCUCAACUGGGAGAGGCCGUUCUAAACUGCAGAGCUAGAGGGUGGUAGAGGGAGGUGGAAUUCCAGGUGUAGCGGUGGAAUGCGCAGAUAUCUGGAGGAACACCAGUGGCGAAGGCGGCCUCCUGGACCAUUCCUGACACUCAGACGCGAAAGCUAGGGUAGCAAACGGGAUUAGAUACCCCGUACGUCCUCGAG